CCUCCAGCGGAGGAAUUAUCGCAGCAGGAAACUGCCACCUUGACCUGCCUGGCGACGGGUUUCCACCCCAGCGACAUCCUGGUGACGUGGACGCAACAGGACCGACCCGUCCCCACCGAAAAAUUCGCCGUUUACGGACCCGGCCCGGAUGUUGGAACUUCGGGGGAAAAUUUCGCCGUUUACAGCAAAUUGACGGUUCCGGUCGGCGAGUGGCAACGGGGCGACUCCUUCGCCUGCGUGGUCGGGCACGACGGGAUCCCGCUGAAUUUCAUCCAGAAGAAUUUGGAUAAAAAUUCGGCAGAGGGCGUGGUGGUGACGGUGGGGACGGAGCCGGGGGCCGAGGGCGAGGAAGCCGCUGGCGACCUGUGGACGGCCGCGACCUUCAUCGUCCUCUUCCUCCUCAGCCUCUGCUACAGCACCGGCGUCACCCUCUUCAAGGUACCCCCCGCUAAUUAG